rnacentral:rRNA from 1 species
UUGCAGAGGAUGCUUCGGGAGUGGCCCCCAUCUAAGUGCUCUGGAACGGGCCGUCAUAGAGGGUGAGAAUCCCGUAUGGGAUGGGGUGUCCGCGACCAUGUGAAGCUCCUUCAACGAGUCGAGUUGUUUGGGAAUGCAGUUCUAAAUGGGUGGUAAAUUUCAUCUAAAGCUAAAUAUUGGCCGGAGACCGAUAGCGCACAAGUAGAGUGAUCGAAAGAUGAAAAGCACUUUGAAAAGAGAGUUAAAAAGCACGUGAAAUUGUUGAAAGGGAAGCGCUUGCGACCAGACUCGCCUACGGGGUUCAGCCGGUAUUCGUACCGGUGUACUUCCCCGUGGGCGGGCCAGCGUCGGUUUGGGCGGNCGGUCAAAGGUCCUCGGAAUGUAACGCCUCUCGGGGCGGCUUAUANCCGAGGGUGCCAUG